rnacentral:pre_miRNA from 14 species
CUUACAGAGUUCUUUGGCAUUCUGUCCACCUCCUUUCUGAAUAUAUUUGUGUAUAAGUGUACGCAACUACGUUGUGUUUUGUGUGAGGAGGUGGGCAUACUGCCAAUAGAGAUCUGUUAG